rnacentral:rRNA from 1 species
CCUACGGGAGGCAGCAGUAGGGAAUCUUCCACAAUGGGCGAAAGCCUGAUGGAGCAACGCCGCGUGGGUGAAGAAGGUCUUCGGAUCGUAAAACUCUGUUGUUAGAGAAGAAAGUGCGUGAGAGUAACUGUUCACGUUUCGACGGUAUCUAACCAGAAAGCCACGGCUAACUACGUGCCAGCAGCCGCGGUAAUACGUAGGUGGCAAGCGUUAUCCGGAUUUAUUGGGCGUAAAGGGAACGCAGGCGGUCUGUUAAGUCUGAUGUGAAAGUCUUCGGCUUAACCGGAGUAGUGCAUUGGAAACUGGGAGACUUGAGUGCAGGAGAGGUAGGUGGAACUACAUGUGUAGCGGUGAAAUGCGUAGAUAUAAGGAAGAACACCAGUGGCGAAAGCGGCUCUCUGGUCUGUAACUGACGCUGAGGUUCGAAAGCGUGGGUAGCAAACAGGAUUAGAUACCCUUGUAGUC